rnacentral:rRNA from 1 species
CAGGGAAUAUUGCACAAUGGGCGAAAGCCUGAUGCAGCAACGCCGCGUGCGCGAUGACGGCCUUCGGGUUGUAAAGCGCUUUUCGGGGAGAUGAGGAAGGACAGUAUCCCCGGAAUAAGGCUCGGCUAACUACGUGCCAGCAGCCGCGGUAACACGUGGGAGCCAAGCGUUAUCCGAAUUCACUGGGCGUAAAGCGCGUUUAGGCGGCUUGGUAAGUUGGAUGUGAAAGCUCCUGGCUCAACUGGGAGAGGACGUUCAAUACUGCCGGGCUAGAGGGCGACAGAGGGAGGUGGAAUUCCCGGUGUAGUGGUGAAAUGCGUAGAUAUCGGGAGGAACACCAGUGGCGAAAGCGGCCUCCUGGGUCGCACCUGACGCUCAGACGCGAAAGCUAGGGGAGCGAACGG